UAAACCCCCUCACAUAUAAUGUGGUAUUGGCUAAAGUGAUGGGCAUUAUGUCCAGGGAUCACUAUGCUGAAAUGUAUUGCGUGGAGAACUAAUUCCAACAACUGACUUUGUAAGCAUCAUUGAGAGCACAAACCAGUCAGGUGUUGGUUCAGUUACGUAUACCUGGACCCCCAACCAGUGUAAAGCUUUG
rnacentral:misc_RNA from 1 species